GUCAUCACGAUUAGAAGCUUGUAAAAUAGAGUUUAACUGUGGUAGAUAAUUUAAGAAAGUUUUUACAGGCUGAUUUCAUUGCAAUCCAUUCCCCAAAAUUUAUGAUUCCGAAUAUUGUUAUUACCAAUAUUCUUAAUCCUCUCCCAUUUAAAAAAAAAAAAGAAAACUACUGAUAAUCUUUCACUGUCUUUUGGUACAUGGCCAAUAAAGAUUAAGCAUAUCAAAAGUAUGACCCCUAAGGAACAGUCACCACUUACUAAGCACUAUUAGGCAUUCUGUGUACUCAUAUCAAACUCUGAGACCAAUGUUGUCAAGACAGCAUCAUUAAUACUGUGUCCUAGAUAUAGAAACGGGUCCAUGGAAAGACUGGGCCAUCACCAUACAAUUAGAAAUCAACAAAACUAGGAUUUCCACAUGAAUAUCUUUGAACUUCAAACUCUA
rnacentral:lncRNA from 1 species